UAGAGCUUGGCCACGUGGGCCGAGUGCCCGGUUUCUGUUUUUCUCCCGGUGCAGGAAAACAUGAAGAACGGGGAAAGUAGCUGCCGCAUGCCAAUGUGAAACUCCGAGGAGUCUAGCCAUUCUGAUCUGGCCUUCCAGGUCAUUAGGAGGCUCUGCCAUCGUGUGAGGAGGGAAAGCCUGCUGUCUGGAGAGCACACUGGUCUCCAGCGUGGGGAGAGAGAGCACUUUCGGGCUUUGCUGAGGAGGGUCUUCAGAAAAAAGAGUACUGCCAACAAGAAGGCCCAAUCAAGAUCCUCCCACAACAAGAGCAGAUUGUGAGCGUGGCAAGCUCUAUGCUGAGCACUGGAAGGACAAAGAGAGAUUGGGCACAGACUUCUCACUGAUCCAGGUGAUGAAGAGCUCACAUCUGAGAGGAUGUGACCAUGGAUGACCCACCAGAAUGUCAUGGGAUCCAGCUACAGCCAAGGAAGCACAGAGCACCGUGGGAGCGAUUUAUUGUGCUUGGGGAUGGGGAAGGGGACAUGGGAGGAGCCAUAUUGAGAAAGUAGCAUGGGUACUUGGCUUCACAGAGUGUGGCAGCUUUCAUCAGGAAGUGAUGGUGGGGGAACAGCGUCUCUGGCGGAGGGAAGCAGCAGGUGCAGAGGUGCAGAGGUGUGAGGAGUCUGUCACAUUCUGGGAAGGGAGUAUGGUUGGGUGACAAUGCAAGACAGAGAAAGCAAGGAGGGAAGGAGGGGCCUAGCCUGAGGAAUAAAGAAUAAUAAAAGCAGGA
rnacentral:lncRNA from 1 species